GGCUGUGGCUCAGUGGCAGAGCUUUUGCCUAUCAUGUGUGAAGCGCUGGGUUCGAUUCUCAGCACCG
rnacentral:tRNA from 1 species